rnacentral:antisense_RNA from 1 species
CUUGAUCGACCCCAGCAGCAGCGGACUCCGCCGGUCCUGGCCGUAGGUGGCCAGCAGCGCGUCGGCCUC